GGCGCAUUCGUCUAGGGGUUAGGACGCCAGGUUCUCAGCUUGGUAACACGGGUUCGACUCCCGUAUGCGCUACCA
rnacentral:tRNA from 1 species